rnacentral:rRNA from 1 species
UACGUAGGGUGCAAGCGUUGUCCGGAAUUAUUGGGCGUAAAGAGCUCGUAGGCGGUCUGUCGCGUCUGCUGUGAAAACUCGGGGCUUAACCCCGGGCCUGCAGUGGGUACGGGCAGACUAGAGUGCGGUAGGGGAGACUGGAAUUCCUGGUGUAGCGGUGAAAUGCGCAGAUAUCAGGAGGAACACCGAUGGCGAAGGCAGAUCUCUGGGCCGUAACUGACGCUGAGGAGCGAAAGCGUGGGGAGCGAACAGG